rnacentral:tRNA from 1 species
CUGUGGGGUUUCAAAAUUUCACCUCGUCCUUGGUAAGGAUGAGGUCACCAGUUCAAAUCUGGUUAGCAGCUCCA